rnacentral:rRNA from 1 species
UACGGGGGGGGCAAGCGUUGUUCGGAAUUACUGGGCGUAAAGGGCUCGUAGGCGGCCAACUAAGUCAGACGUGAAAUCCCUCGGCUUAACCGGGGAACUGCGUCUGAUACUGGAUGGCUUGAGUGUGGGAGAGGGAUGCGGAAUUCCAGGUGUAGCGGUGAAAUGCGUAGAUAUCUGGAGGAACACCAAUGGCGAAGGCAGCUCGCUGGGACGUGACUGACGCUGAGACGCGAAAGCGUGGGGAGCGAACAGG